rnacentral:rRNA from 1 species
AUCGAACGCUGGCGGCAGGCCUAACACAUGCAAGUCGAGCGGAGCGGCGGACGGGUGAGUAAUGCCUAGGAAUCUGCCUGGUAGUGGGGGAUAACGUCCGGAAACGGGCGCUAAUACCGCAUACUAUCAGAUGAGCCUAGGUCGGAUUAGCUAGUUGGUGGGGUAAAGGCCUACCAAGGCGACGAUCCGUAACUGGUCUGAGAGGAUGAUCAGUCACUCUGAAGCUGAGACACGGUCCAUAAUCCUCCGGGAGGCAGCAGUUGUGAAGAUUUGACAAUGGGCGAAUGCCUUGUCCAGCCAGGCCGCGUGUGUGAAGAAGGUCUUCGGAUUGUAAAGCACUUUAAGUUGCGAGGCGGGUCCAACAGAAUAAGCACCGGCUAACUUCGUGCCAGCAGCCGCGGUAAUAC